rnacentral:rRNA from 1 species
AUUGAACGCUGGCGGCAGGCCUAACACAUGCAAAUCGGGCGGAUGAAGGGAGCUUGCUCCUGGAUUCAGCGGCGGACGGGUGAGUAAUGCCUAGGAAUCUGCCUGGUAGUGGGGGAUAACGUCCGGAAACGGGCGCUAAUACCGCAUACGUCCUGAGGGAGAAAGUGGGGGAUCUUCGGACCUCACGCUAUCAGAUGAGCCUAGGUCGGAUUAGCUAGUUGGUGGGGUAAAGGCCUACCAAGGCGACGAUCCGUAACUGGUCUGAGAGGAUGAUCAGUCACACUGGAACUGAGACACGGUCCAGACUCCUACGGGAGGCAGCAGUGGGGAAUAUUGGACAAUGGGCGAAAGCCUGAUCCAGCCAUGCCGCGUGUGUGAAGAAGGUCUUCGGAUUGUAAAGCACUUUAAGUUGGGAGGAAGGGCAGUAAGUUAAUACCUUGCUGUUUUGACGUUACCAACAGAAUAAGCACCGGCUAACUUCGUG